GUAGAGUACUGGGGUGGUAGGGCACUGAGGUGGUAGAGUACUGAGGUGGUAGAGUACUGGGGUGGUAGGGUACUGAGGUGGUAGGGUACUGAGGUGGUAGAGUACUGGGGUGGUAGAGUACUGAGGUGGUAGAGUACUGGGGUGGUAGAGUACUGAGGUGGUAGAGUACUGGGGUGGUAGGGUACUGAGGUGGUAGGGUACUGGGGUGGUAGAGUACUGGGGUGUUAGAGUACUGAAGUGGUAGAGUACUGGGGUGGUAGGGUACUGAGGUGGUAGGGUACUGAGGUGGUAGAGUAUUCCCUUCAUCACUCUCUUUCUCCCUCCCUUUGUCACUCUCUCUCUCGCUCCUUCCCUUCGUCACUCUCUCUUUCUCUCUCUCCCUUCGUCACUCUCUCUCUCUCGCUCCCUCCCUUCAUCACUCUCUCUCGCUCCCUCCCUUCAUCACUCUCUCCCUCUCCCUCCCUUCGUCACUCUCUCUCUCGCUCCCUCCCUUCAUC
ensembl:lncRNA